rnacentral:sRNA from 1 species
GAGUACAUGCAUGUAUGCAGAGGCCCUUGGAGACCAGAAAAGGACAUCACAUCAAAACCCCUAUCCUCUGAAGAGCACUUAGCUCUUAUAUAUUCAGCCAAUACCCUCAACCCCCUGUUUAACUAUAUGCUCUUAAUAGUUCAUCACUAGUAGCACUCAAUAAUCAAAAGGAAGUUCAUAGAUUUGCAUUUAAAAUGUAAGCUUUAAUAAAUACAAAAUGCAUAAACAAUUAGAGCACUUGUGAAGAAGUUGAUCAAGAUACAGUAAUUAGUAAAUCAAGUAACCAUUUAAAAUUUCUGUAUUUCUUCUUUUUUUGUACAAUAUCUAGUAAGGUUGUUUAACAGGCUGCCUUCAUUUGUCAUUCUGGGACCCUUUAUUGUAAAGAUAAUUUUUUUCUGAUGAAAAGCAGCAGGCCCAGUGAUUAAUCUGAAUCUCCACAUUGGAUUACCUCUUUUUUUUCUGAGAUACAUGUUUCCUUGAGUGUUUCUGAUGCAAUGAAGGCUUGCAUUAUUGCUGCAGUGUCUACGGGACCUGAUGCUCCAGUAGAUCUGACUUACCCUCCUUCAGAAAGUUGCGAAAUUAAAGAACCAGUAGGUGCUGUCCCUGUUGUUCUUAAAACUUCUGAGGUACAAAAUUUAAGAUGAUUUAUUUUGUCAGGGAACCUAUCUAAUGAACUAUGAGGCUUCAAUACCUGAACAGCCCCGCUAGAAGAUAACUCCUUGCUGUGAAUCAUGACCAACCUAGUUCAAAAGUCUUUUGAUUCCUAUGUUUUUAUUCUAUCAGGAAACUGCUACAUUAACCUAAGAAAUGAGAAGAUCCUUGGAGUUGCUUUGGAAGCAAGUGAUGACAUCUAAAAUAAACAAACAAUAUGAAGUGAUUUUUCUCAUCACUUUCUGUUAAUUCAAGUGAUAACUUUUAUGUCUUUAUAUACUCUACAGAAUAAAUGCUUUCAUUAGCCAAGUUGGACCAUGUGGAAAAAAUCUAGAGCUGGCAUUUGACAUCAAAAGCAUACUGAAGUUAUUUAUUAGUUUUAUCCAAGAUGCCCAUCACUUGGGCACCUGAGACAUAACUGGUCCAAGGCAAUUAAAACAAAUGUCAGCAGCUCCUUUAUGAACAAGCCAUGCUAUUAAUCACUUACAAACAAGCAGAUGGAAUAGUUGAAUUUAGGUGUACAUCUUUAAGAAAGUCAGGCUCAUUGGUGAGAAGCAUUAUUGUAAUGGCCACUAAGAGGACUCAGCAAUAUGAUGGCCAAACUAUUGCCACAACAAUUUAAAAUUUAAUAUAAAGAAAAUGCCCAAAUCUUUAAAUAGCACAUUUACCAAAAAGUAAAAUCUCAAUUUUUAUAAUUAGGCGAGUGCCAUAACUGUAGCCUGUGUGUCAAGCAGAAAUAGCAAAGAAAAUGUGACAAAAGAAUCUACCUAAUCCUGUUAUAAUAUUUAACUCUUAAAAUAAAAUAUGUAUGUCUCAAAUUAAUCAUUUUUGAAAUAGAGUGUGUAGGAUGGAACGCAUGCUAAGUUUCCUUUGUUUUCUACAGACUCAGCUCUUCCUUAACCCAGAGGGUACCUUAAAGGAGCUUCCCAGGGUGUGCCAGGAACACCUGCCGUGGGUCAGCCUCCAGAAAUUACUACACUCAGAACAGAAAUAUACUACUGGAGUUAUCCUCACAAACUGAUAUAACCCACAUUGGCAAUUAUUUAUGAGUGCCUAGAUAAGUAAACGGACAAUAGACUGCUCGUCACAAAGAGCAAAAGGCAGCUGGGUGUAAUCAGCCAAUUUAGCUGUGAGAAGAAGAAAAAAAAAGAAAUAUCAAGCAAAUUAUAGUGACUGUUGCAGAAGCCUGGAGAAACUUUGGCUUUGUUUAAGAAAGGGAUUAGAAUUAAAAAUGGUCCCCUUCAACACUGCAAGGAACAUGAAGCAAUUAUCCAGUUUAUGAGCAGCUCUCUGAUUGACUGGACCUCUGUGCAGAAUGGGCAUUUCAGUCAAAAAACAAGGGCUAGUGUGCUGUAGAGUGCCAGAGGCUUUUAGUUUCCACAUAGCCCAUUAAAAUAUAGUUGGUCUUUGCCAUACAUUAGCCUUGUUUAACAUAAAUUGUUGCUCUUUAAGUUCAUUGUUUUUCACGGUACACUGGAGAUGCCGUUAAGAAUUGGAAUCACAGGGGCAAAGCUUAAUCCUUCCUUAGUCCAUAACAUACAAAGAUGAGUAUGAAAUUCUUUUAAGAAUUUUCUGAAUUGUUCCACAUGGAAAAUGUAUCAAGUAUGCAACUUAUGGAAAGCUAGAUAGAAAUAAAUAUAGUUACCUUAUAUGAACUUUGUGUGUUCUCACUAAUGAAUGCAGCUGAUAAAUGGAUUUCUAAUGCAAACAAGGUCAAGUAUUAUAAUCUAUAUGUUCACUGUCCUUCAAAUUGGAUUCCUACAUAUGCUGAAAGGAUGUUGAAAGAUGUGAAAAACAAGUAAUGACUUGUUCAGGUACCAUUCUGUAUUCACUUUUACUAAAGUCACCUCAGUCAUUAGAAGAAUUUGCUAGUUAUGUAUCUCCUCCUACCACAUUUUUCUGUAUUUUUCUUCAUGUUACAGAUACAGGCAUGUGACCUAAUCCAAGGUGAUGAGAGGAGAAUCUGUCAUGGAAGAAUCAGGGAAAUGAUUUCUGAUCUGUGUAAAAGAUACUACUUUUACCAGGUGGUGGUGCAUAUGCCUUUAAGUCCAUCACUUCAGAGGCAGAGCUGGACAGAUCUGUGAGUUCCAAACCAUCCUCAUUUACAGAAUGGGUUACGAGAUAGCUAAGACUACACAGAAAACCCAAUUUGUAACAAACAAACAAAUAAACAAAUAGAACCAACCAAACAAACAAAAACAGCAGGAAAACAAAACCAAAAAACAAACAAAACAAGGAAAAAAGACACUCCUCCCAUAAGCUUCCAGUCUCUAGAAGUCCAAAACCGUACAUCCUUCUUAUUGCCAUAAAACCCAAGUGCCUGAUCUACCUGACAGUCUUCAAUGUCAGGGUUAAGAUCAAGCCUGGCUUUUUCUCCUUCUAGGCUUUUAACUCUGUGCUAUGGAAUCACUUGCUUUCUGAAGCUUCCAAUCUCAUUCAAUAGGACAGUGCCUUGCUGUUCAAGUCUUUGUCAUGGGCUCAUGAGCAACAAACAAUAUCCUACAGAAGGGAUGGGAGAGAUAAAUGGUGGAAAAGAACUGGAGGUGGGUCAAGAGAUGGAGAUGAUCUUCCUUUGGCCCUCGCAUCUGGCCUGGUUGAAAUCCUUGGCAUGAUUCAGAUAGGAACUUCGGGUCUUUCUGCUCUGAGGUGUAGACCUGUGUAUUAGCACUCUCUCAUAUAAGGAGCUUGAGAUUAGCCACGUUCUGAGUUAGGAUUUCAAAAGAAAAAUAGCCAAUUUCCUCCUUGUGUUUCCAACUUCCUUUGUUAAAGAGGAGCAUGAAUUUGCUUCAUUGAAAUAUGAUCUACUUUAAUUAAAGCCAGUGGCAUCAAGUAAAUUAGAGUAUAAUUGCAUCUUCCACGCAUCUCACACAGCUUGCGUUUUACCAAAAGGAACCCAGUUUCAAAGUGUGUGUGCCAAUACCUGCAAUCAGGGCCUUAUUAGACCAAACAAAUCAUGCUUUCAAGCAAGUGAAGGAAGCAUAAAUACAAGGCAGAUUCAUAAAGUGUCUAGUUCCUGCUGUUGGGAAAGGCAGAGUGUGAAAAGAACUAUGAGAUACAAAAUUGUUCUUUGUACUUAAUGUAAAGUCUAGACUUUCUACAUUUCAAUAAUGAGUCACCCUAGAAGGCUUCAGUUUUUAGAGAAUUUAUUUUGAAUGGAAUGUUACGUAUCUGUAAGAGAGUGGAUAGUUUAGCAAAAACUAAUGUCAAAGGGCUGCAAAGUGCAGACUUGACACAAGCUUUGUAAUUAACUCCUAACUGCAGUUACCUGCACUAGCCCCACACAAAAUUGUCAUGUCAACACUCAGCUGUGGAAGUGAGAGGCACUCAGUUUUCCUGCUGAACUCUUGGCUGUUGGUACAUUACGGGGGAGGGGAAUCACAUUUCUCCAGCUGUAUUUCCACCGCUGGGCCCUCCAUUCUCUAAACAGAUAGUUCUGCACGCAUGGUUACACAGAUUGGCCCAGGUUAAACUCAGUAGUUGCAAAACAAAAUCGGGAAGGAGAGGGGUGGAAGAGAUGGUAGGAAGAUGAGAAUUGGUCAGGUGAAGAGUGGUCUGUAUGAGCUGUCUAAAGCUGUGAAAUUUAAUUAAUAAUCAGAAAUGCAUAAAGAGUUAAAUGUGGUAAAGUUGUGAAUUUGGGAUUCAGUUUGCAGAAGAAUAAUAACUUCAAAAAUAGUCAUUUCCAUAGCAUCGAAAACAAACCAUCUCUUACUAGAUAUGCAAAUAUCUAGAGUGAGGGAAAAGAGAACGUAAUUGGUUAACAGUUUGAUCUUGUGGAUCGGGCCUAUAUUCUGACAUAGUAAUUCAUCUUGAGGGCACCCCAUCUUAGUUACUUUCUUAUUGCUGUUCCUGACUGAAGCAACAAAGGAAGAAAGAUUUAGUCUGGAUGCAGGAUUUGGAAGGGACCUAGAUCAUUGUGGUGGAAAGAUAGUUGACAGAAGGGUCAUGAAGCCCCUGGCCACACCACAUCCACUGCAGAGGGAGGAAUUUUGGAGCUCCCUACAUUUCCCUUUUCCAAAUGUCUAGGUUAGGAGCACACAGGAUGGUGAUGACCACAUAUUUUAGGUGUAUUUUUCUACUUGCUUAAGCUUCUCUGGAAACUCUCUAAUAGAAACAUCCAGAAGUGUACCUCCUUAGGUGAUUCUACGUUUUGCCCAGUUCCCAAACAAGAUUAAUGAUCACAUAUACUAUCUCCAAGAUCAAAACAGAUCAAAAAAUAUAUAGCUACCUCAUAGGAUUGUUGCCAUUUUAAAAGAUUUAUUUUACUUUUAAAAGUUGUGUUUAUAUGUGUUGUAGGUCUGUGCACAUGGAAAUAUAGAUGUCUACAUAGCCUAGAAAAAGGCAUCAGAUCUCCUGGAGAUGGUGACUGUAACAUACUAGUUUGGGUGCUGAGAGAGGACUUGGGUCUGCUGCAUGCUUGGAACCAUUCAGCUAUCUCCCCAGCUACAGGAUUGUUCUACUUAUACAUAUAUACACAUAAGCACACAUAAUGGUAAUUGUGAUCACAAGAGGUUUUAAGGUCAGAGGACAGAUCAUAGUCAGGCUCCGAUUUAACACAUGAAUUAUGCAAUGCCCAUCAGGAGUCUCAUUUGAACCUUGGCCUUUCUCUUAGUUAAUGAGAGGGUGAGAAUGACUGGAGGUUGCUACCAGGCAAACCAACGUUGCAUGUUUAACUUUCUCUGUGGAAUCUUUAGUCUCACUUCUUUUCAGUGCCCCGUAUGUCAUGCUUACCUCUAGCCAGCUGCAACUUCACAGAGAGCUGGACUCUGAAGAUUUUGACAAAUUGGCAAAAAUUUACCCACAUCAAAAGAUCAAUGCCAGUUCAGUGAGAAUGGCAUGUUUCAGCCAAACAAUUUCAGAAGCAGUUGCUGGCCCAACAUUGUAUGUACACACACACACACACACACACACACACACACACACACACACCCCUACACAAGCACCUUCUAUAUUAUAGAUUAAAUACAUGAGAAUUCAAUGAGGGGGCCAAUGGGGGGGCAACUAUCCACAUAGUAUUCAUAUUAAGAAAAAAAUAUAAAUAAUUAAAUUAAGACAGACAGGGAUUUUAUAUAGCUUUUAUGAGAGUAGAGGAGAAGAGUCUAAAUUCUAUAUACAUUGAUUUUUAGUUCCUUUUCAUUCCUUGCUUCAUGUAAAGCAAGCCCUUAUGUGUUCUCAGAUCUAACAUAAAGUACUUUGGCAAUAUUUAACUUCUGUAGACACUUCUAGAUAAGAGACUAAUCGACUGGUGAACAACACAAAAGCUGACAUCUCUAGAGGGAAAAUUCACUCUUGAAGUUAAGAAAUAUUGUUAAAGAGGCUUUGACGCUGAUAAGCUUGAAUGGAUAUUUUCACUUUUCUCUCUUGUGGUCCCCAAGUGUGCUCAAGGAUCUCAAGCCACAGGUUAAUAGAUAAUAUGGACAUACCAUUCGUCCAGUUUUCCUUCUCUGGAACUGGAUUAAUUAUUUACUAGUGCACUAAGUAUUUUCUACUACUGUGGUAAAACACCAUAACAAGUGGAACUUAUAGACGAGCUUACAGUUCCUGAAGGGUAAGAGUCAUGGUGGCAGAGUGGGAGACUACGGGAGAACAGUCAUUGAUUGUCAAUAACCACAUAAGUAAUUUGCACAUUUCUAUCUAAAGACCUGUCUCCUCUGAACUUCAAGGUAAGAAAAUGGGAGUCCCUGUUGCAAUAGACAAGCCAAGACCUUUGAAUCUUGUAUUUUAAAACUACGUCUGUGUUUGCAUUUAGGAAUGGAACAAAUUCAUGCUGCACAGAGAGGGUUUAUCUGAAGUGAGCUUAGGCAAUACGGGCUACCAGCUAUUUUCCAUCUUCCCGGAGAAUCAGGAAGGAAGAGUCAGAUAUACCAAAGGGGUAGAAAAACAAUGUAGGUAUUUGAGAAGAGAGCCUUGGUGUGCAAAUUAUUGAGAUCUUGGGUCCUCUCUCAUUGUCUAUCCUAAAGGGCCUGCUCACAGAUGUCUGAGAGGUAAAUAGCAAAACACUGAUAAACACUUGAAAAUAUAUCCAUUAAGUAGGUUUAACAGUCAAGCAUCCACCUGUAUAAAAAACAAAAUAUUUCCAAGAUGCAAUUCUUCAUAAAUCUAAACUAAUAUUCCAGAAUUCCAUGCAUGCUUUUGUCUUGUUUUAUUUAACAAUCGGGUAAAUCCAUAUUUUCUAUUAAGGGCCAAAUAGUAAAUAUUUUUGGCUUGCAUGCCAGAUGGCUUCUGUCAUAACUACUCAACUCUGACAUUAUAGUGUAAAAUCAGCCAAACAAUAAGUAAACAGAUGAUUGUGGCAAUGUUCCAAUAAAACUUUAUUUACCAAAGCAGGCAGUGGGCCAGAUUUGGCUUCCAGUCCUCCUAAUUCAGAAGGGUGACUCUGAGUCUUUGGCUAUACAUACCCAGGGUCUCUGCAGUUUACAGAAAAGCAUAUUUAAACCAUAUGGCUCCCAAGCAAAUGAAUGUGAUACUUGUGUGUUCUCUGUGAUCUGUUUCCAAUGAAAGUGAAUAUUACUGUUAUGAACACAUUUAUAAGUAGCUUUAUUUGCCCCUGGCUUUUAGUCACCAGAGGUCGUAUAUACAGUGAGUCCAUAUAAGAUUCAAUUAAACAUCUGCCAAUCUCAGAUAAUACUGAGAUGCCAAAAGGUAGAGAGCAAUAUCUAUGGAUUAUUCACAUGUAAUCAUGAGCUUCCUUGUUCUUAUUGCCGUUAACUUUUUCAGUAUUAGAGACUGAAUGUCAGGUUUUGUCUAUACUACAUAAGAGCCCUGCCAAGGAAUUACUUCCUCUUCACAUGCAAAGACUAUGUUUAUUUUCUAUUUUAUGUUCAUUUGAGAUAUUGUCUUCAUUGGCUUUCAACUCAUUCUGUAGCUGGUGCCACCAAAAACUUGAGAUCAUCCUGCCUCAGCCACCUAAAGAGCUAGCUUUACCAGGCUGUACCACCAGGAUCACCUCACUUUCCCUAUUUUAAAACUGCUGAUCUGUGAGUUUCAAUUAUCUUUCUGUAUGAAUAAAAUAUGAUAUAUUCCUUCUUCCAGGGUUCUACUUUAAAGAAAUUUAUUACCUAUGCUAAAUGCACUCCAUUACCAAGGUGGCAUACUGAAAACCUUGAUAGUCGUUACCUGACUGAUCCCUCCACUGGUUAGACUUUACAAAAUUCCAAUGUUAGAUAGUAUUCCAGUCACUAGUACAGUAAGUAGAUCCUGAUAAACUCUCUGAUAGGGGUGACCCUGAGGCAGAAAUUCUUAAACAAUAAGUAUAACAAAAUAUAAUUCAUAGUUGGCUCAGCAAAUGUCCUUAUUUUGUAUCAGGUUUGCCUUCGUAAUUAUGUUUUCCUUUGACUAAUAUGUUUUCCUAAUGACAAUUUGCUGGCAAACACCAUCUAAAAACAGAAUGAAAUACGUGGAAAGCCCUGGUAGUGGGCAGAGAGUACUGAGCAAACCCAAACAAUUGCUGUGGAGAGGAACAAGGUUAGUGAGAGAAACUUGCCUUCUUAAUACAUAAAAGGGUUAAAGUAGCAAAGAGCUUUAAAAUGUACACAAUUGAAAUUAGACAACAGUGAGCUGGCAUAUUGGGACCACUCAUUUAUAAUACAUAAAAUGAUGGAAUGAUGAGAACGUUGGCAGUGUGUAAGAAACCUCCUAAGAGUGGUAGUGAGGCCACACCCCAAAGAGCAGUACCAGUUGUAGACCAAGUGUUCAAAGAGAUGAGUCUAUAACAUAUGAGAUAAUGGGAGAUACUCCACAUUUAAACAAUGACAUACUCCAAGAAUCAAAUCCAAAAUCUGUAAAACUGGCUGGGUGCAGAUAAUUUCUUUCGUAUGUGAUCUGAGGUGGGUAGAAAGGAACUUCCAGUGUCUAAGAGAAAACUAGAUCCAUCAAGUGGACCACCAGUGUGUUGCAAUCAAACAGUUAUUUAAACUGUAAAUCUUUCUGUGCUCUCUGUUGUAACUUGUCAAGUCUGCCAGUAUAUGUGACUACAUACCAGCAAAACUUUAUUAUGGCACCAAAGUUUUAAUUCGGUAUAAUUUUAUUUGUCAUGUAGUCUUCUAUUAAAUUUGAGUUAUUAAAGUCACAAAACCAACCGUUUUAGUUCAUGUCUCUGUUGCUGUAAGAAAAUACUACAACAAAAGCAACUUAAAGAGGGAAGACUUCCGACAUUUGGAAGUCUGGUUUCAGGACAAUAAGAGCCUAUUAUGUUGGGAAGGCAUGGAAGCAAGUGUCAGGUAUAGUGGCAGGGACAGAAAUCUGAGAACCCACAUUUUCAAAUACAGCUGAGAAGCAGAGCUUGUGAGCUAGAGCUAGGGUGAAGCUGGAGAAAAAGCUCAACCCCAUUUUCUUCAGUAAAGCUGCAUUACUUAACCCAUUCCAAACAGAUUUACCAAGCGCAAAUUAAAUAUUAAAAUAUAUCAAAGACCAUGAGCACACUUUCAUUCAAACAACUUCAUUGAGUAGAGCGUGUUACAAACAAGUGGCUGACCAGAUGGAGUCUUGCACACCCUUUGCUUCUAAGCCCUGAUCUAUCAGCUCACCCUUUCUUAAUGUCUUAUGUAUCAUAUGUGGGUGAUAGUAUACAUUUACUUGUUACAUUUUACCCAACCUGCUCAGACAAAUGUUCUCAUAAAACAAGGCUGUGGAUCUGUCUUUCACCUAGACAUGAUUUGAGCAUACCUAGGAUCAUAUAGAUCUAUAUAUUCAUUGAAUGAUGGAACUGAUUGAUAAAUAUUAGUAAUGGUAACAUAGAUUCCUCGACUUCUCACCUUUUAUCAAAACAUGAAGACAAUAACAGAUCAGAAAUAUGAAUGGGCUAUCCAACCUCAAGAUUUGCCUCCAGUGUUCCAAAACAGCAGCACCAGCUGUGGACCAAGUGUUCAAACUUGUGAGACUAUGGAAGACAUUCCACAUUUAAACCACAAUCUACUCCAAGAAUGAGAUCAGAAAUUAUAAUUCAAAUCUCAGCUUCUCUAAACUUGCUGGGAGGGAAUUAUUUUUUCUUCUUGUGUGAUCUGGGGUGGGGAGAAAAGAACUACCCCUGUCUAAAAGGAAAUUAGAUCACACAGAUAAAUAUGACACCUUCAUGCAAGUUAAUAAAAAGCAUCUUUUCUUCAUUUUAUUUUAUAUAAUUCUGUUACGUAGCAGAACAAUGUAAUAACUACAAAAACCUAAGGAAACGACACUUUGAGUGGUGCCCUUAGACACCUCCACACACAUGCACGCACACGCAAACACACGCACGCACACACACACACACACACACACACACACACACACACACACACACACACACACACAAGAAGCACCCAGUGUCAACAAAAUAUAAGCAAUCUUACUUGAGAGAAGAUAUGAAAUAGUUCAGGCCAGAACUCUUAAUGACAUCCACAUGAACAAAACUAAAGAGUUAGAGUUUUUGAUGGUAAGACUUGUAGCUACAGCAAGCAAUAUAAGAAGGCAUUUAGCUAGAACCAUGGGCAGGAAGCCAAAAGAGUCUGGGAGAGUUGGCUUGGCUUUGAAUACCAAGCCAGUUCUUGGAAGAGCUCCCCACAAAUACGCCCACAUUAGGUUAGUUGGUUAAAGCCACACAGAGACUGACUUGACAUUCAGAUAAAGAACAUGCAUUUCUUUGUCAAACAGAAGGCUUUAGGGAAUCACUAACUAGAAUUCGUACUUUGCUAUUUCCUAGAAUUUGAAAGACUAAUAUAUUUAAUCUGAAGACCUUGCAGUCAUAGUGUAGUGGCUGCACGGGGACCAGAUGCUCAAUAUGCCAUAAGAAAUCCUGGGAAGUAAUAAUUCCAGCCACAAAUCCUUUUCCACAUUUGAAGGUAUAUGGAAUACCUUUUUUACAGAACAAUUGCCAAAUGUAGCUCACCUAGAUUCUACUAUCAAAGAAAGCUGCAUGCAUCUUUCAUUGGCCACAGUCCCAGGAGGCUAAAGGCAUAUAUUUAAAUGGGAAAGGGGUGACAUUUCGGGGAACUGCUACUUUGAUGGGGUCCCAUAUUCCCUGCAGCUCAAAACUCUCUCAGUAAAGUUUUAACAUGUCUUCUGUUUUCUCAUAAAUUUACACUUUGAUGCACAGUGCCCAGGUAAAGGCAUCUACUUACAUGGAUAAAAGCUGUGAUUCAAGAGAAGUACAGAAUAGAGCAGCCAGAGACUGGAGUGGACAUCCAUUUGGAACUGUCUGUAUCCUACAAGGUGCUACAGGCCUACUUGAGCAAGUAUUACAGAAUGUGGGUUGAGCAGAACCCAGGAGCUGAGGUUUUUGAAGAGGAUGGAGGCCAGCGGAGACCUGAAAAUAAGCUCUCCUUUACACAUGUUCUCCAGUCUCGUCAGGGCAUGUCGCUUCUCUCUGGGAAAGCCACUCAGCUAGCAUUUACUAUUUUGAGAUCAUGAUCCACUUUCCAACCUACCUCUAACCUCCAUACCCACCUCCCAAAGUAAUUUCUCCUUGUAAGAUCUUGACAGGAGUAUUAAAAAUUCAUAAAUGUA